CUCCCCACAAAAAGGAAAGGAAAACCCCAUCCCAUCGUGUGUUCUUCGUCCUUUUCAUAUAUACCCCAUCAUCAUCCUCUCCUGCAAUCUAUAUAUGUAUCUAUGUGUGUGUGUGUGUUUUUACCUAUUUAUAUAUGCUUUCCGCGAUGCAUAAAUCUGAAUUCUUCAGCAAUAUAUGAAUAGAUCGCUUUGUUUUUGAUAUGCAAAACAUGUUUUUUUUUUUCCUUCCUCUUUCUCUCUCUCACACACUCACACACACACACACACACACUAAACGACCAAACCCUAGGAUGUUUUAUUGGGGAUGUGAAGAUGCAGUUUCCAAAAAUGGGUUUGGUCUUUUUGGUGGUGCCGAUCUAACUAUAUUAAUUUGUGAUAUGGAUUGUUGGUAGAAAAGACUAGAAAAUUUUAAGGCCUAAGAAGAGGUAGAGAGAGAAACAAGCUGACAGAAGAGAGUGAGCACAAGCAGGCAAUUGUAUAAAGAGUGUAUACCUUUGUAUACGUGUGCUCAUUUCUCUUCCUGUCAGUUUAAUUUCCUCUCUCUCUCUCUCUCAAUAUUUAUAUAUAUAUAUAUAUAUAACCACCUGUAUCUCGAGUCUCUAUACCGACCAGAAGCACUAGAUUGUGGAAGAAAAAAGCCUUGGGAUAAGGUAAAGUUAUGAGGCUGCAAUUCCCAAAAGAUGACUAUAUACAUAUCAAGUGGAGUGGAGAUCAACAUAAAAUGAAAUACACAUGAUAGAUAUAUCUCUCCAUAUGUAUAUAUCUUUAACCUUAUCCAAUACUGUGGACAUGUGUCUUUCCCAUCACCACACUGUUUUAGUUCGAGUUGCUUAGAUUUUGGGAGAAUGUGUGGCGGUGAUCAUCAGACAAUUUCCUCUGUUCCUGAUGUCAUUUUCUUUUAUUAUUACUAGUAUUCUAUAUGAUGCAGCAGCCCACAAUUAAGUGAGAAUGCCAUCGGAGAGGAAGAAGAAGGUAAAGCUUCUUCAAUGUUUUUUUGGCUUCGUUUCUUGAUGAAGAAAUCAAAGCCUUUCUCCAAUUAUUCCAGUUUAUAUUUUAUGUGCAUUAUAUUAAUUGCAACUCACAUUAAUCUAUUCCUUGUGGUUGCCUUUUGCAUUCCGUUGAACACAAUGAGCUGUGGAUGAGACUCAGCAGCAACGGCAAGAUUUUGGAUUUCUUCAGCGACACCAUGGAAUCAUGUUUGUGAUUGUGGAAGACAAUUUGCAAAGUGGGCUACAUUGCUUUCUGAGUGAAAUUCCAAAGGCUCGAGUAGAAUUUUAUGCUUUAUGUCCAGUUAUGAAAAUACGAAAGUUUUCAAUGCAUGAACAUCAAAUUCUGGGCCACACUCAUUUUGAGCUUAAAAGUUGUUCUAUGCUAUUGCAUGCACAUUGAUGUUUAAUUGAUCCCACUGCCUAAGCUUGAUUUAAGGAGAUCUUUCUGACAUUCGACUUGUACAAUCUGGGAACAGCGCUUGUUCAAGACUUUGGAAGUUUCUGAAGUCAACAGCAGCAUUCAGCAGUUUCUUCUUGCACUGAUAUGAAAGGGAAAUUUGAAACAAGAGUAAGUAGCCAACUUUCUACUUGACAUCUUAUUUGUAAAUUUGAACACACUACUCUUUUAUGUUCCUCAUAAAUAAGUGUAUCAUACAUUACAAAAAAGAUUGGUUGAAUAUAGAAUGAGAUUAUUACAGCUUGAAA